AUUUUAGUCCCGUUUUAGAGCGAAAACCUGUCAAGCGCAGCUACUAUAUUCCCCCGCUCUAGAAUUUGCUUUCAGUAAGGACAAAAUCCAAGAUGUCCUCAAUGAUAUCAGAUCCAAGAUGGCUGACCUGGGGAUAUGUACACAGUUCAAAAUUGUUGCUCCAAUUCCCAUGGGCCCAUGGUCGUCUACCCCCACCACUCAUCCUCAGUGCAGGCUUACCAGCUUUCAAGCAAACCCACCACUUGUGUUCUGUAGUCCAUAGUGAAAGGCUGUUCAUCAUUGUCAUGAAGUGUCUUCAGGGAGAAGAAACUGACUCACACACUCAAUUUUCAACAGCUCCAUGAUGCAGACGACGCAGUGCCUGAUAUAUUUGAGGAAUGGCAGCAGCAGCAGGAGGUAUCAAGCCAGCAUGCAUUCAUGCUCCCUGAUGCAGCUCCUAAUGUGUUGGAGUGGAAGGAAAAUACA